GACGUAGGGCGCGAGCGUUGUCCGGAUUUAUUGGGCGUAAAGAGCUCGUAGGCGGUUCGUCGCGUCGGCUGUGAAAACCCGGAGCUCAACUCCGGGCCUGCAGUCGAUACGGGCGGACUGGAGUUCGGCAGGGGAGACUGGAAUUCCUGGUGUAGCGGUGAAAUGCGCAGAUAUCAGGAGGAACACCGGUGGCGAAGGCGGGUCUCUGGGCCGAUACUGACGCUGAGGAGCGAAAGCGUGGGGAGCGAACAGG
rnacentral:rRNA from 1 species